GAUUCAAACUACAGACUUAAUAACCUUAUCAGCUUCAAAAGCCUGCACGAACACUAAAUCGAAGGCUUCAUGCUCAGUGAGAUUCAACCGUCUUCCAUCCUCACCGUUCUCUGCAUCAAACCUCCCAAUAUCCAAGCAAGUUGGUGAACCAGUGAUGCAGAACACAAGCUUGUACCCAAACUGGUAUUUCUCAAUAUGAAAUUUCCCACCAAAAGUUUGUUGCCCUGGAUGCCCUUCGGCCCCACCAACUCCCACACAUGCCUUCUGGAUUGUUUCGUCCACAAACACCAACCACUUGGAGGAUUCUGAACACUCUGGCUUCUCCACGAACUCGAUUUCCAGUUUGGUACCUACAGUUAUGUUUCCAAAAAUUCAAAUCAGUAAGUAAAAAAAAACAUUAUUACGACUUUAAUCCUAACGUUAGGAUGUGCUUUAAAUGGCUCUGAUACCAUAUUAAGAAGUGGACUUUAAGUCUCACUCAACCCCAUAAAACCUGCUCAUAGAAUUGAGGUUUGCAUCCAUUUAUAUAGAAUGAAAUGUCAAUCUCUAGUCGAUGUGGAAUCUCCAAGCGAUACCAUAUUACGAAUAUAUUACAAAGUAGACUUUAAACCUAACUAAAGUCAUUGAAAGUUUAAACCCACGAAUUCUCUUCAUUUAGAGUGGAUAUAAGAUCUCUGAAAUAGUUGUCAACAAAAAAUUCUUCCUACAACAACUUAGUGACUCAUAAUAGUGAGAGAAAAGUAAACUUUUAAGACAGUUUGAUAACUAAUUUCACUGUUCAUUAAUAAGUAAAUGAUAUAAAAGAUUUGAGGGGACUCGUGGUCUUGUUGCAUAUAAAUGCUGAAGUUCCCAUUUUUAUUUACUUUGAAGUCUGAAAUAAUUAAAUUGAUAAGGUAUUGAUGAGUACCAGUGAAGAUGAUUCCGGGGCUGACUCCAGGUAUGGUGAACUUCACGGGAAUGCCACGGAAGACUUCUAUGUAAUCUUGCAAGACAGUUAGAGCGCACUGUGAGUUCCCAGUUUGGCCAAGUUUCAGUCCACCACCAGGUGGGCCACGGAUUGCUGGUAAGAUGUAGUAUGUGAGACCUGGGAAAAUGGGGUUCCCAUUUACGUCCACAACUUGCUCAACAUCUGAGAAAGCUAAGGGAAGGUUGGUGAGGAAAGCAAGGAGAGGGAGGAGGAAGGAGAGGGCAAGAACUGCUGUGGCUUUCAUGGUUGAUUCAGAGGAAGAUGGUGCUGUUGCAGAUGUUCUGCUUCUGUUGUGGUGGACUGGUUUUGGUUCUUUAUAUAGAAACAGAGCACCACGUGCUUGUUCUUAAAAGAAGAUGACAGAGAAUUUUGAUGACAGAGAAAACAAAAACAAAAAAGAAAAAGUAAAAGAAAAAGAAAAUCUGAGAAUUGAAACAUGUUUCAGCAACAAUGUAAAACGAUGUUAAGAAUGGACAUAACAUCAAAGAUGUAUAGGAAGAUAAGAAAAACAUAGUAGUGAAACAGACUUACAUGACAUUUGUAACAUGUGACUAAAUUGUUUUAAUAUUUUCAAGAAAUUUUUUCUGGGAGGUAGUUUUUUCCCCUUAAUUUAGCAACUGAAUAUUAGUCUUUUAUUAAAAUAAUUAGAUUAAAAUUAAUAAAUUCUAGUGAUAAAAAUAUAUUUUUAAGAUAACUUGAUUUUUAAUGAGGAAAUAAUAAAUGAGUAAGCAUUUAUAGGUAGAGAAAUGUAAAGAAUUUGUAGCUCAGAUGGGUGCAUACAGUAUCAAUAAUGAUAAUAUACUUGUUAGAAAAAUAAUUGUGAAGCAAUCAUUGGUAGUUUCAUCUAUAAUCUCAAAUUUUGAAACAAGUUUUUUUUAUCAGAAAACCAAAUCUUUACUCACAAAAGCAAUACUUUUUGAAAAUCACUAUUUUCAAUAUUGGUUUUAACAGAAAAAAGAAAAAAAAAUAGAAUAAUCAAUUUUACUUAUUUAUAUGAUAUGAUGAUUUAAAUAUUUGUAAACUUCAUGGCAGAAUUAGAAUUGGAUAAGUUUACUUAUCAUCUCUAAUUAUACAUAUUAUCUCUUGAAGAUAAUUAUGAUCAAUUUUUUUAUACUUUUUAUUCUUUAAUGUUAUUCAAACCAAAUUAAUUUAAAUUCAUUUAUUAUAUAAAAAUAAAAAAUAAAAAAUCAAAGAGAAUAUAUAAAAUGUCUUAAGCCACGUGCUUAGUAGGUGAGAGAUUAUUUGAUCACGUGCAAGUACAGUAAUCGGAUAAGGAUGAAGUUGGAAUGAGUUAUUUUGGAAGUUUUUUUUUUUAAAAAUCGCAUUAUUAAAAGAAAAUUACCCAAAUAAUAUAUUACUCAUCAUAUUUAUCUAAAUAAUAAUAUGAUUUACGAUUGAUGUCAGGUUUCUCAAAAACCGAAGUCUAACUUAAUUUUUCAAUUUUUUUUAAAAUUAUGAAAAAAAUACAUAAUGAUAGUGUAAACUUUAUGACAUUAUCAUAUUUAAAAUUUAUUUUUUAAUAAUUUAAAUAAAUUAUUAAAUAUAAUUAAUAUUGAUAUCUUAUCACACAUGCAAUGCAAAGCAAGUAUAAUAGUUGGAUAAAAACAAACUUGCACCGAGUUAUUUUACUAAGCCAAUAAGGUAUGCAAAAUUGAAAUAUUUAUAUUGAGGUAUUUUUAUAACUUUAUUUAUAUUAAAUUAAGGACUCAUGUUUUAACUUGAUUGUUUAUAUUAAAAUAGAAAUAAAAAUGGAUUUAUUUGGUAAUUUUAAAUUAUAGAAACAUAUUCCAUAGAUAUUUGGUAGAAAGAACAAGAAAUUGACUUUGAAUUUUUAUUUUACAUCUUACACUCUUAGCAAUUCAAUGAAAUGCGUGUCACAAAAGAGAGCACACCCUUUUUUUAACAAUUAUAAAAGUUAUAAAAUAAUAAUAAUAGAGACAUUAGUGAUAAAUAAUUAAUGAGCUUUUGAUAAACACUUUUAUUUAUUUGUAGAUUAAAGUUCUCGAUCUUCACGAGGCACACAAUAUUAAAUUAUAAUAUUAAAGCACGUGCCGAGGAAUAUUUUAUGCUUCCCGUGGAACACGCACGACCUUCCUUCUAUAUUUUUAAAAGAGGGUUAAGAUAUUGUUUCUCUCUAAUAAAAUAUAUGUUAAACUAUAAUAUUAAAAUCCGGUAUUGAAAUGAUAAAUAUUUGAAAAUUAAAAAACCAGAAAAUCAUAAAUUAUUUAUCUGAAAUUUAAAAAGAUAAAUUAAUUAAAAUAUAAGUCUAAGAAUCCACCCCAAAAGAAACAAUAUGACCUCUCACCUUUCUGUUCACUACUUUGUCUUCUUUUUCACAAAUUUGGCAACCGCACCUUAUGCAAUUUGCAAUACCACCACUACAAAUUUCUUCUUUUCGUUAUUUUUCACUUGGCGCGUAUUUUGAAUUUUAAAAUGUCAAUCGCGAUGAGUUUCUAAGAAUAUAUAGGUUAUGAGAAAUAGAGACCCAUUCAUUUCUCAUUUUUUCUUUUCAUUUACUGAAGAAUAAGUGAUUCUUUUAUCAUUUUUUUUUUAUCCAUAUCAUACCUGUUCAGACGUGAUGCAGUUUAUAAGGUUUUUUUUUUAUUAUCAAAGUUGUUUGCUUUUAUCAUAUUUUUGGUGUCCCAAUAAUGCUUUUAAGAAAUAUUGAUCAAGCUAAUGGACUAUGUAAUGGUACAAGAUUUCAAGUUAAUGAGUUGGGGAAGAAUUUUAUCGAUUGUACAGUGAUUACAGGCAAAAACAUUGAUCAUAAAAUAUUCAUUCUUAGAACGAACUUGAUUCCUUCAGAUUUAGGACUGUCUUUCAAGUUUCAAAAAAGACAAUUAUCGAUAUCUUGUGCUUUGCAAUGACUAUAAAUAAAAACUAAGGUCAAACACUUUCCGAAGGUCUACUUUUUUUUCUUGGCCAAUGUUAUAAGCCAACAAUCUACAAAUAAUUUGUUUUUUAAUAAUUGUUUCUUAUUUGAAUUUGCAGGGUAAUAUAAUUGUUCUGAUCAUAUUUUUGCUUCUACUGCAAAAUUGUAAUAAAUAUAAUAUCUUAUCAAAAUCUUCUAUUCCUAUCUUUGCAUUUGGACAAAAUAAUACUUCUACUUUCUGUUUUUUUUUUCUCUAAGAUUUAAAACAUAUCUUUUAUAUAUUCCUCCUAUCAAAUUUACAUUUAAGUUAUGUGUAGCGGUGAUUGAAAUAUAUUGACAUUAUAACCCAAUAUUAUUCAACAACAAUUAGAGGUUAGUAUCAAAUAUUCAACAUCACUAUACCAUUUCUUACAUAUAGUAACAUAUUAUUUUCUCACAACACUCGUGCAUUAUUUUGUUUCUAUAUUUUGCUUUGUUUUCUUUUCUUCUGUUUUCACUUUCUCAUGUUUCAUAUACUGUGCAAUGCCACCAAGUGUUUGAUAAAUGCUUGAAUGAUGGUGACUGGUUCUUUCUCUAUUUGUUUAGGUUAUAUAUGGUUUUAUGAAUUGAUUACUAGACACUCAUUUAUUAAUUAAUAUAUGCGUAGCAUGCUUGUUGGUUGGGGUGUGACUGUGAGAGGGAAGGUGAGUGUGGGUUAUGACUUACCUUUCCGUUUCCUUGACAUAAUUGGGAGGUUACUUGCCACAAUUAAUUGUCAUCAAAUGGAAGUUUCUUACUACAACUAAUUGUCACCAAAGGGAGGUUAAUUACCAUUAAUUGUAUUUAUUAUUGUUGUCUCCUAGAACCACUAUAUAUAGUGGUUUCCUUCCAGCAAUAUAACAAACAACAACACAUACUUGCUUCCUCUUUAUUUUCCUAUACUCUCUAUUUCUGCUCUUGGGUGUAAGUGUUUAACCCAUAUAGAGAGAAUUUGUUUUGGGGCUAUUUAUCUAUUAGCCUGAGAGGGAUUCAUGGUACUCCCAGUACCAUUAUAGUGGAAGUUUUGGCUCUUUCGCCGAUGGUUUUUUAUCUUUAUUUAAAGGGGUUUUCCACCUAAAAAAUUUUGGUAUCAUUCUCAUUUUCUUUGUUACUCUAAUUUCUCAUAAUUUGGUUGAAAUUAUUACGCUUCUGCACAUGAUAUCCCUACAGUGAGAGAGAAUGCAGAAGGAUGGAAUAGUGUUGCGACGCUUUUGAAUAUCUUGAAGCUUUUUUAAUGGUUAAAGGUUUUAUUAACAUGAUUUUCUACUAAGAUUUACUAUUUUGGUUAAAUGUUUUAUUCAUUUUUUAAUGACAAUUUCAAUUUCAAUAAAAGCAUAGAUUGGAAAAACAACUCAUCAGGACUAUAAGGUACUGCCUCAAGCAGAGGAUUCCAGUGUGAAAUCGACUUGUAAUGGUGAAGAGGUAAAUCUUCAAGAGACUUUUGAAAAAUCUCAGCAAAUUACAAGUUAACGUAAUCAUAUAUUGCUUGGUAUCACGAUGCAACUUUAUGUAACUUUUUCUGUCCAAUCAAUUAUUAAGAUGGAAGAAGAUGAAGAUGUAGAGGUUAAACAAAAGGAAUGUGAUGAUGCAAAGUACAAUGUCGAUGAAGAACCAAUCAACCAACAUUUUAAGCAGCUAGAGUUAUUUCAGCUGCAAAACGAGAACGUCCAAGUAACUUGUGUCAGAAUAAUAUUAAAUAAUCAUACUUACAACAUGUAUAAUUCUAAUACAGUACCAUAUAAACAUGCAAUUAGAGCUAGAUUGAAUGGUUUGACACAAGAGUUUUCCUAGGAUUGCUUUCGUAAUGCACUAUGCAUAAGAUAAAGUAACCAAUUUGAUGUUGACAAUCCUUAGGAAUUGAAAAUGAUGGUUCAUCAAACAAAAAUAGGAAUGCAGGUUCUGCAACAUAAUUCACCUACGCAUUUUACCUAUGACCAAUCACUGACCAAUUAAAAGGUUGUCUCCAUUUUAAAAUUACUAUGUAAAAGCCUAAGGGGGCUCAAUGAUUCAUUCCCACAAGUAUGAACAUUUCAAUUCUGUUUUUUAUUUUACCUAAUCUCAAUUUUGUGCACAAUAUCUUGUAGUUUCUUGAUUCUUUCUUUCUGAAGGAUAUUUUUAUCCAUUAUUAAAAACCAAUUUCUUUUGAGACCUUUAUAUUAUUAUAAGAAAAUUUGGUCUCAUAUAAAAAAUUGUGUUUAGAUAAAUCUAAAAUCAAACUCUAGUUUUUAUUUUUCAAGAGUAUUUAUUUGAUCUUUAGUCUGGAACCAAAUUUUUUUCACAUGCAACUAGGUGGGGUAGGUACUUAAUUGAAGGACAAUAAUGUUAAUUAAACCAUGGCCUUAACAUGGAAUGUGAAAGAAGGUCCAAGACGACUCAAAUGUUCACUCACCUUCAAACCUCGGUCCUUGGUCUCUUACCUCAGGUUCAUCAAUCAUCAUCCAACAUUUCAUGUUUUCUCAAUAAUUAAUGCUACACAUUAUUUUCAUGGUUUUUUUUAGAGUUUUGGUUACAUGAGUUUUAUGCAUUAUGUCCACAUUGUGUUGAAGAUGAAGAUGAAAGCUUUCAUGUAUCAAAUUCACAUGAAGCCGGAAGCUGUGUGCUUUCUGGGUUCUGGGUUUGGGUUUAGAUUAAGUUGUUUAGAAUCUUUGUUAAGAUUAGUCCUUGAAGCCUACACAAAGCUUGAUUAAAUCUAUUUUAAGAAACUAAGUGUUGUUCCAAGUAAAGGGAAAACAACCGAUUGAUUUGUCGAAAUAAUCGGUUGUUUGUCAAUUAGCUCACUGGAAGUUUUGAAACUGCUUGACUCAUUCAACCGGUUAAAUCGUGGUCUCACCCGGUUAAAUAUGUGUUUUCAUAACAGUUUUUUGAAAACUUGUUUUAACUGAUUCAGUUGUUCAAAUCUGCCUUAAGCAAUUGCUUUUCAAAGGCUAUAAAUAAAGGCUUUCAUUAAAAUCAAAAGAUACAACAAAUACAACAAGUAUUGAUUCAGAUUUUAGAAAGAGAUUUGGUGUUUGAAAGUGCUUACAAAAAGUGCAAGAGUGCUUUCAAGCUUUGAUGUGGUGACAAGUGUUGAUCAUAGGAUCUCUGGUUCUGUAAUUCCAGGUGUUUUCUAUCCUUGCUUAGUGUAUUGUAAUUGUACUUCUUUUACAUACUUUUGUGUUUGAAAUUCUAUAAAGACAAAGGUUGUUCUGUCUUGAGGUGUGAAGUUUUGCAAAGAGGGUGAGUAGGCUUUGUGGGAUUCAAAGUCACCUCUUUGUGGUGUGUGAUUGUAAUCUGUGUUGAUUACUAGUGGAAACUUAGAGGUUUGUCUGAGAACUGGAUGUAGCUCAGGGAUUGAGUGAACCAGUAGAAACCUUGUGUGUAAAUCUCUCUUUCUCUCAAACUGUUUGAUAUUUUGCUGCUAUAAACAACCGAUUAAAACACAAUUUUAACCGGUUAAAAUUCUGAUAUCUAUUUCUUUUGGAUUGUUUGGUUGCCUUCCUUAAGUGCUUAUCUGAGUUGUUUGUUAAAUAUUCAUUCUAGACCAAGUAUUUGCGAAAAUCUUUGAUAAACAAUUCACCCCUCCUCUUGUUUAAGCCAUCAAUUCUUACACAUUGGAGGAGUUGAAGAAGACUAUGAAAGGAGUAGAAGGGUCCAUGAUUGAAUGUGGUAACAACAAUAGAAAUUGUUCAAUCAUGGUUACUAUUUCUGCUAAUGUUGCAUUCUUUGGUAUUCAAUGGGUGCCUCAACCAGGUUUGGUGACGCAAAUUUUAAAGGUGUUUUGCAAUCACAAAGCAUAGAUUUUGGCUACAAAUGUAGAAAUUGAUAUUGGCAAUCACAGUUUUGGUGCAAAAUAAUGGAAAGUGUGUGGUUGAAAAUAUUAAAAGAGAAAUUAUGAGUUUGUAGGAUCAAAACUCUUGCGAUAGAUUAUAUGGUGUUUGAUUUUGGUACCAUGUCACAGAAGAAGCUAACUUGAUAUAGAUCAUGAUUAGACAUUAGAAACUAAACUCUAACCUGUAUCAAUUUCAAAAAACCUGCAUCUCACUUGUCACUUAUAUGGUUUAAUUAGAUCGUAUUCAUAUAAUUAUAAAAGAAUUUAGUAUGAGAUUUGGAUGAAGAGAAAGGAAGGAAGAAAGUAGAAACUAGAGCUGAAAACUUUUACUGAGAUACAAUAUGAAUAGGUUAGGCCAAUUGCAUAAUUGGUGUAUUAAUUGGUUUUAUUUGUCUUACGCUAAUCUUUUUUUCUUUUAUGUGAUGGGCAACGAAGAAUACUGAUGGAAGAGAGUCAUCUCGUGCAGAAAUGUGCAUCAUGAUAAGCCUAAGAGUGAAACAAAUUAUUGUAUGUAAUCUCUAUCUUUAUCUUCCUCACCCUCAAUAGUUAUUCCUCAAAUAUUAAAUUUUGAAUAUUUGGUGCUUAACUGCUAUAUUUAUAUAAUGUAAAUUAAUUUAAUAUUUAAUAACGUCUACUACUAAAACUUUAGACAAACUUCUGUAAAUGGUACAGAUUGAAGACAUGUAUGAAUACUUCUUAACAUUUGUGAACUGUAACAAAUGUAUAUAUUUUUGGUGGAACUGAAGAUUAUAAUUAUAUCAUUAUGGAGUGUUGGUUGUUUGAUGCUGCAAAAUCUGUAUUAAAUUUGAUGUGGUAGAAAUAAUGUAGAAUGACUUGUUUGACAUAAAUAACAGUUGGGGCCAUCAAAGCCUCUUCAAUUGUAAUAUUGCUACUAGGAAGUUGAUCUUUCAAUGAAAGACCAUUCUUUUUUUGUGUGUGGAAAAUUGGGAGUAUGUGUUGGCCUUCUAUCUUUGUAAAUGUGCUCUUCACUGUUGUGAGGUUUUUACAACACACCCUUAAUGGAACAAAAAAUCCAUCUAUAAGUAACACAUUAAUGUCUCAUGCAUGAAUUAUUAUGUCCUUCAGAUACAAAUUUAUAGGGGCUACAAUUAUCUCAUUGCUUUAACCACAAAAUUUUCAUUUCAUCCAUCAGAAUGCAAACCACACUUACCUUGGACAACUUCAUACCAUAGAGUUAGUCUGUAGAGAAAAAUGCUAAAGUCACUUAGCUGCUAAAACAAUAUUUUAAUCUAGCAAAUCUCCCAACUAACAAGGUGACCUCUACUUAAUCCAUUUGAAAACAAUAUAUCUUAAGUUUUUAUAGUAAACAAUUGGUGCACGUAUGAUAGAAUUUUAACUAUUGCAAUCAUUUUAAAAACCAUAUCUAUCAAUUUUUUUGAGAUUUUUUUCAAAUUAAACUCAAAUUUUAAAAGGCAUAUAUAUGAGUAUAUGGGUAAAUCAUAGUUAAUAUCUGUGGUUGAUGAAAUUUUAUAAAUAUUUUUUCUAUUCUUAUUUAUGGCUAUCAAAUAUUAGAGGUGACAAAGUGAGGCGGACUGUGCGAAUUGGCCUGUGGCCCCCUGAAAAAAAUGUGGGCGGGUUGCUUAUUUCAACUCGCUGACUCACUUAGGUCCGCCCUACAUAACUCGCAGUCCGCACGGGCCAAGUGGGAGCGGGUGCGGGUUGACCCGCAUAACUUUAAAAUGUAGAAUUUUUUUUCUGCAUCGCCAUAUUUUCUUCAUGUAGCCUCAUAUUUCACAUUCCAAAAUUUUUAAUAACAUCUUACUAUGCAUGUCUCGUGAAAAUAAUAUUAUUAGACCAUUUACCUAAUUCAUCUAAAUAAAUAAAAAAUUAUUUAAAAAAAUAUUUCUUAUGCGGACUAGCUCGUAGGCCAACCCUUAUACGAAACAAACUAGAAAUCUUUGAAUGCAUGUUUUCAUCUGCUGAGCUCAAUGAAUUUCAAGAAAUAUCUGAAAAAUAUUGGGUUGAAAAGAGAAGACUACUAUUUUUUAAAACAUGUUUGGAAGGGUUUGUUGUCUUGCCUUGCUUGGGGUUUUAUGGCUCUAUCCUGAGAAUUCAGCACUGAGCGGGGGAAACUGAAGUCAAGGCUGAAGGAGCAUGAAGAAGCAUUGAAGGAUUUCAUUGGUAAGGGAAGGAUGAGAAAGCUCAGAAGCUGUGGUUGAGGCUGAAGAAUGAGGUUGCAACUGAACUAAAGGAGAGACGUUUUGAUGUUGAAUAAGUGUAUGCUUUAUAGUGAAUGGUUGUCAAUGUCAUUUCCAUGAUACAUGAACAGAUUGUGAGACUCUAGAUGUAGUAGACACUAAAAAUCUUAUGUAUGCUAGAUGAUAAAUAAAAGUGACAAUUUAUUGACAAGACAUGUCUAAAUUCACUUUCAAACAUUGAAAAUCCAUAGUGUUGUGUUGAUAGAUUUUUAUUACUAGUUUGCUUAUAGAAUAAAAACAUCAAAACAUAAAUUAUUAAAUUCAUGUUACAAUCCAAACCUAAGUAAUCUAUAUAAUUUUGUAAUCAAACAAUUUACUAAAUUUUUUAGUAACAUUUUUAUAAUGUUACUUUUUUUUUAUUAAAAAAUAUUAGUAACAUUUUUUAAAUGUGACUUCUUAAAUUUAGAGUGUAGGGAUUAGUAACAUUUUUAUAAUGUUACUCUCUUUCCAAAAAAAUAUUACUAAAAAAAAUUAAUAACAUUUUUAAAAUGUUAUUUAUUUAUUAAAAAAAGUUACUAACCUUUUCAUAAUAUUAAUUUUUUUUAUUAAAAAGUAUUACUAAAAAGAUUGAAUAACAUUUUUAAAAUGACAUAUUUUAUUAAAAAAAUUACUAAAAAUAAUUAGUAACAUUUUUAUAAUGUCACUUUAAUAUUAAAAAAAGUUAAUAAAGAUUUAUAGUAACAUUUUUAUAAUAUUUUUUUUUUUAAAAUUACUCAAACAAUUUAGUAACAUUUUAAAAAUGUUAUUUUUUUAUUAAAUAAAUAUUACUAAAAAUAUUUAAUGACAUUUUUAUAAAUGUAUUUAUUCAAAUAUAAAAGUAUUACUAAAAGUAUUUAGUUAUAUAAAAUAUUUGUUACAUUGAAUAAAAUUACUAAAUCAUAUUAGUAAUUUUUUUAUAUUUAAUAACAUUUUCUUUAUUUAAUAACAUUUUUUUAAUGUUACUAAUUAUCAUAUCUAGUAUUACCAUAACUUUACAAAAAGAAAUCAAUUUAAUCCUUUAUCAUAUUAAAUAGAUUCUCUACCAAAAAUGUUUUCCUGCCGAUUUAUAAUUAAUUUUGUUAAUAAUAUAAAAUAGUAAUAGUUAAAAACGGAUAGAAAAAAAGUUCUUAUAUUUUUCUCUAGACAUAAUUACAUUUUUAAUCAUCAUUAUAAUUAGAAAGAUAAGAAAAACCUCCUCUAUUCAAACAACCUUUUCUUUUUUUUUCUUAACCUCCAAAAUCUAUAUAUAUAUAUAUAUAUAUAUAUAUAUAUACACACUCAUUUUUAACAUUUUUUUUAAAUCGUUUGGUCAUAUUGUGUUUAUAAAAUCAAUCUUGAAAGGUUUAUAAAGUUAAAAAUGUGUAAUUAAGUUUUGAGUUCCAUUUAAAUUCAAGAACUACCAAAAAGAAAUCCAGGUAUUAUUAAUUUAAAUUUAAAGAUGUCAUAUUAAGGAAACUUCAUAGUCUUUGUUUACUUCGACUAUUUCAACUCCAAGAAAUUGGAUAUUUCAAAAUUCUCUAGAUUCAAACUACGGACUUAAUAACCUUAUCAGCUUCAAAAACCUUUACGAACACUAAAUCGAAGGCUUCAUGCUCAGUGAGAUUCAACCGUCUUCCAUCCUCACCGUUCUCUGCAUCAAACCUCCCAAUAUCCAAACAAGUUGGUGAACCAGUGAUGCAGAACACAAGCUUGUACCCAAAAUGGUAGUUCUCAAUAUGAAAUCUAGUCGAUAUGGGAUCUCCAACCCACCCCGCGUGCAAGGGACAACAUGUUAUGGGUGGGGUUUUUUCUUCCUGCACCCCCACGUUUUUCUUUCUGCACCCCACAAUUCUAAAUAUUCCUAAAGUACCCUUGAUCUAUAAUUUGAAAAGGGCACUCUCCUGGACUUGCAUUGUAGCAGUUCAUCUUCAUCACUGAAAUAUCAACUCCUGGACCUAUACUGGGAUUUUACCACACCGCAGGUUUAGCAUUCAGUUCUUAUAGAUAAAACAUUGCAGUUAUACAUCUUUCCCAUUUUACUUAUGAUGUAUUUCUUAUUCAUCUAUGUAAUUUAACUAUUUUUCAAAUGCAGAUUCUGACAAUGGAGUAUGUUCCGGGGAUUAAAAUAAAUAAAACACAAGCUUUAAAUGAACUUGGUAUUGAUCGCAAAAGGUUAAUCUCAUAUGAAUUUCUUCAAGCCAAGUUACUAUUGACAUUUUCCCUUCUACUUCUGUGAAUUUUAGGAAUUGAUGAUGGCUUUUGAAAUUCAAAAAUAACAUAAUGUAUACUUUAUCUUCUACAGGUUAGGGCGAUAUGCAGGGGAUUCUUAUUUGGAGCAGAUUUUUAUCACAUGGUUUCUUCCAUGCUGACUCUUCUUGUUCUUAGAAUUGUUGAGUUGUCUCAUGACUUAUCUUGUUUGAAUAAGGGAGAAGAGAUUGGCUGGAAAUACUUAUCUCCCAUGUUGGAUUCCAAGUACACACUUUGCAUGCUAUAUACUUAACUUUUGAUUUAAUCAUAUCAUAUUGCAUAAAAUAAGAGAACAAGUAAGAACUUGCACAAUAGAAGGGUGGCAAAGAAGCUUUGCAUAAAAUAUUGUUACAUUCCCUUUUCAGCUCAAAUAGAAACUGAUUUGAUCUUUGGCUGUUUUUUGUACUGCACUUAGCAUUGGAAAACAUUAUGAUAAUUGUGAAGUUUGAAAAAGAUUUAUAAACAGGGAGUUCUAAUAAUUUGUUUUGCCAGUUAACAUCAAAUGUUCAUAUUAUUUCAACUAAUUUAUAUGGAUUUGACGAGUAGGGGAUUCAAAAAUUUAGAACUUUCCCAGAUCCAAAAAUUUGGAACUUUCCCAGAUUCAAAAAUUCGGAACCUUCCCAGAACUAUAAAUCCAGGAUUUUACCGCAAGCAUAAACUCGAGAUUCUACCGGAUUCUAUGAUCUAGAAUGCAAGAAAACACUUACAGAAACAAAAAUCCAUAAAAAAAUCGGAUGUGCAGAUCCGAAAGCAAAGAAAUUAACUUAUCUUGAUUAAAAACACUCUAUAUCAGCAACAAAAAAUUCUGAGAUUGUAAGGAUAGCGAUUUGUAGGUGCGACUGCUGCUAGAAAAUGAAACCCACGGCUGUGCACUGAGAGAAUCAUUGCCUGUGCCUCUUUAGGGUUUUUUUAGGUGAAGGGUAUUUUUAGAAUUUUAAAAACUAUUAAGGACGAUUUAGUCUUUGCAUAAGAGUGUGGGGGUGCAGGAAGCAAUUGUCUAUGGGUGGUCCAAUAACGGCCCGAUAGCGGGUGGCAUGAUAGGUCCAACAAACGUUUGUUAUGAUAGACUUUAAAUGACUCUGAUAUCAUAUUACGAAGUGAACUUUAAACCUAACUCAACCCCAUAAAACCGGCUCAUGAAGUGGAAUUUGCACCCACUUAUAUAAAAUGAAAUGAUAUAAUAUCUAGUUGAUGUAGGAUCUUUAACAUACUCCCACACGCAUUUGUUCUGGAUUUCUUCGUCCUCACUCAUGUUUCAGACAUACAUAAGACACUGACAAUAAGACACUGACACUAAAACACCUAUAAUUUUUAAAAUUUAAACAUAAAAUAUAAAUUUAUAUAUUAUAUUAUUAUGAAUUAUAUAAAUUUCCUAGUACAAAAUUUAUAUCAACAAGUAUACGCUAAGAUUUUUUUUUAUGAUUGAUUAAAAGAAAUUUUUUUCUGACACAGACUGCAUGAAAAGAAAAACGUAUCCGAGCUUCGUAUUAGUAAUAGAACAACAUAGUUUUGAAGAAAAUUUCUGACUACAAUUUAGAGACUCCGAAAUAGUGAGAGAAAAGUAAACUUUUAAGACAGUUUGAUAACUAAUUUCACUGUUGAUUAACUAAACAAUAUAAAAGAUUUGAUUGAACCCAAAAAUGGACUCGUAGUUUUGUUGCAUGUAUAAGCUUAAGUUUCCAUUUUUAUAUACUUUGAAGUCUGAAAUAAUUAAGUUGAUAAAGUAAUGAUGAGUACCAGUGAAGAUGAUUCCAGGGCUGACUCCAGGUAUGGUGAAUGCCACGGAAGAGAUUUGAGUAAUCUUGCAACACAGUUAGAGCACACUUUGAGUUCCCAGUUUGGGCAAGUUUCAAUCCACCACCACUUGGGCCAAAGAUUGCUGGAAAGAUGUAGUAUGUGAAACCUCUGAAAAUGGGGUUCCCAUUUGUGUCCACAAUUGGCUGAACAUUUGAGAAAGCUAAGGGAAGGUUGGUGAGGAAAGCGAGGAGAAGGAGGAGGAAGAAGAGGGCAAGAACUGCUGUGGGUUUCAUGGUUGAUUUAGUGGAUGAUGGUGCUGUUGCAGAUGUUCUGCUUCUGUUUUGGUUUUGGUUCUUUAUAUAGAUACAAAGAUGCUGCUAUAGCACCAAGUGUUUGUGUUGGAAUGAGUUAUUUUGAUAGUUUUUUCUUAAAUAGCAUUAUUAAAAGAAAAUUAUCUAAAUAGUAUAUUACUCAUCAUAUUUAUCUAAAUAAUAAUAUGAUUUACUAUUGAUGUCAGGUUUCUCAAAAAAAUUGAAGUCUAACUUAAUUUUUUCAAUUUUUAAAAAAAAAAUUAUGAAAACAUUAAAAUUGUAAUGAUAAUAUAAUUAAAUUUUAUGACAUUAUUAUAUUUAAAAUUUAUUUUUUAAUAAUUUAAAUAAUUUAUUAAAUAUAAUUAAUAUUGAUCUCUUGUUUAAAAAUAUGAUUUUUUAUCAGUAAGAAAUAAUAAAUAAAUAUGGAUCACUUCAGAAGUGAUCCAACCCUUAUACAAAAAUAAAAAGAAAAAUAAGAUAAACCCUUAUGUCCUAACCUAAACCAAUUUUUCAACAAAAGCUAUCGACUAAUUCAAAACUCAAGUAUAUCACUUACACAGGAACCCAUCCUUGACAAUCGUUAGAGUAUACCAACACAUCAAAAUUUAAAAAAAAAAACAUAAAACAAAAACAAACUGUGAAACAUAAAUUUCCAAUAAUUAGAGGAACUUAAAAGACCUCUCUUUACAACUAACACAACAAUGGUGUACCCCCACUACUUAAAAAAAACAAAGAUAAUCCUUUUCACAUCACAAAAGCUCCUCCUUAUUGUCACUUAAUUCAAAGACCAAGACAGAACCUCUAAACGAAGUUUAAGACCAAUCUGCAAAGCACUCAACUUCCUUCUUCUUAAAAAGAAGUUAGAGAGAUAACGCAAGGAAAAAUAAACAAAUUUAAUUCACAGUUCUCAUACAUACCAAAUGUUCUAAACACCAAUCAAAAUAAGAGAAUUCUACCUUUUUCUUUACUGUUAACAAAGCCUGGUUUUUUCUUUGAGCCACAGUAAACACCUCUAUAUGGUCAACUCUCCCAUUAUUAAAAACACACCUAUUCUGAUGAUUCCAAAUUUCACCUAUAAUUUCAAUCCUCACCACUCUCCAAAUUAUGACAAUUUGGCCAUUAACAUUUAGAGGGCUGAACAAGAUGAAGUGUACCUUUGCAUCAUAGUGGUUUACCGAUAAACAACUCAAUCAAGACAAGCACAAACCCCAAAUUUUCUACCCAAUUUUACACUUAAAAAAAUAAAUGACAAAGAAUCUCCUCUUUCUCACCACACAACCCACACAAGCAACUUACCUUUGAGACUCCUUUUCUCAUAAGAUUAUCCUUUGUUGUUAUGCUAUUAUUCAACACCUUCCAAGCAGUGAUUUGUGCAGAGGGAAGAACUUUACCUUCCAGAACUUUUCAAAUUGAGCCCUAUCUUCACCUUCCACCACUACUGCAAGUAUACUAAUUAGAUAAAAACAAAGUUGACUGAGUUAUUUUGAUAUAAUAACUACACGAAGAGAGUAUACAAAAUUGAAAUUUUUAUAUUGAGGUAUUUUUAUGAUUUUAUUUAUUUUAAAGUUAAAUAUAUUUUUUAUGCAUAAUUAAUUUUUUACUUUUGUUCGAACUUUAGACCAUUCAGAUAUUUAUAGUAUGAAAAUAAUACGAAUAGGUUUUAUAUGUAAAAUAAUUGUUAUUUUUUUCAAAAAUAUUGUUAGUUUUUUUUCGAAAUUCGAUGUUGUUUUGAUUGAAGAUUAAUAUUUAAUAUAAUUAUUUUAAAUAAAUUGAUAAAGUAGAAAUUUAAAUUGAAUCAGUUUUAUAUAAAGAAAUUACGUAUUUCAAUCAGUUUUAUACUAUAAACAUAUUUGUAGUCUAAAGUUUAGACUAAAUAAAAAAUCAAUUUGGUAGGUACACAAUCUUAAAUUAUAAUAUUAAAGCUCGUGCCGAGGAAUAUUUUAUGUUUCCCGUGUAACAGGACCUUCUAUAUAUUUAAAAUAGGGUCAAGAUAUUGUUUCUCUCUAAUAAAAUAUUAUGUUAAACUGCAUAAUAAAAUCCCAUAUUAAAAUGAUAAAAAUAUUUGAAAAUUAAAAAACCAGAAAGUCAUAAAUUAUUUAUCUGAAAUUUAAAAAGACAAAUUAAUUAAAAUAUAACUCUAAUAUCUAAUAUUCAACAUUAUCGUAACUUCACAAAAAUAAAUCAAUUUAAUCCUUUAUCAUAUAAAUUAGAUUUUCUACCAAAAUGUUUUCCUACCGAUUUAUUAUUAAUUUUGUUAAUAAUUUCAAAUGUUAAUAAUUAAAAACAUAUAGAAAAAAAAUUCUGAAUAUUAUAACAUGAAAUCAUUCAUGUAGAGGGAGGCAUCUAUUUCGUUUGUUGGGCUUGGUCCCUUAUUUUUUUUCCUAGUUGGUUAGGUUAUUUGUUUUUGCACCUCGAAAUUUUCAUACGCACUCCUAAAAAAUUUUAUAUUCCAAAUUUACCCUUUUGGUAAUAUAUAUAUAUAUAUAUAUAUAUAUAUAUAUAUAUAUUAGUGGAGGGCAUUUUUUGUUUUGGUAUUUUCUUGUUAUGACUUCUUUGAUGUUUUCACAUACUUCAUGGUUGUGGUAUACUUGGUGGUGUUAUUGGGAAGUGUAGAGUGCAUUGAGUUACUAGGGAAGUGAAGAUAAUAUUGAGAGGGAAUGUAAGUUUCUCUUUUGUUUUGCUGAUUUUUUUUCUCUCUAGUUAAUGAUUUUGAAUUUAACUUCUCAAUCCGAAGAUUUCUUGAAUUACAUCUGGAGAAUAUAUUUAUAUAUAUAUAUAUAUAUAUUUAUUGUCCAAUUCGAAAGUGAAAAUAUUUUUUUGGAUUGUAUAAUUUAAGAGUCAAAUUUUGUUUAUGUAUUGCACAAUCUGAAUACUAUAUUGAAUUAUGGAUUGUGUAAUUUAUAAGUUAAAUUUGGCUUCACAAUUGCACAAUCCAGAAUAAAAAUUUAAUCUUUGAGUUAUACGUUUUGCAAUACAAUCUAGAAGAACAAAUAUAUUAUAGAUUUUAUAAUCUGAAAUAUAAAUUUUACUUUUUGAUUACACAAUAUAGAAGUCUCAGUUGUUCAAUUUCUUAAAGUUUUUGUAUGUCCAUACUUAUGUUGUGUAAUAUAAGCACAUUAUUACAUUGUUUUGUGAGUACUCUUACGAUUACUUUUAUGGUGAGUGUUAAAAUGUCAGAUAAAGUGGAUAAGUUGUUUCACAUGGAUAAGCUUGACAAUUUGUUGUAAUAGAAGAUGCAUUGGUUAGAGGAGAUUGCAUUCAACCUUUUACAAUAAAUGAGUAAGUAAAAUUUUAUAUCAUUUGUGUAAAUAUGAUACAUGACAUAUGCUUAUGUUGUAAUAUAUUUGGUAUGUGAAAUGACUUAUUUGAAUUGGUGUGUAAAGUACCAUUUCGACUUGGUUUUGUAAUUAUCAUUUUGCAGUAUGAAAUAUCAAAUGGAAAAUUAAGAAAAAAAAUACAUGUGUGUUGUUAGUGAAAGAGGUGGAAGUAUAGGAGAUACAAAAACAAUUUACUAGUCAUUGUACCUAGUAUAAGAAAAUAUGAUUGUUCUUUUAAAUUGCAAGGUAAACAAAUUUGCAAUGGAGGAGGGCAGGUUUUGAAGACAAUAUGUGGGAGUCAUAAUCAUGAAUUGGUUGAUUCAUGAACUGGUUGGUUUGUUCAAAUUCUUAUGUAUCGAGUUGACAUUUAAAUAUAAUAUUAUGUUCUUGAUUGGUAAUUGGUAUUGUCAUUUUAUUUGUAAUGCUAGUUUAUCAUGAUUUUGAUUCUUAAAUUUGACUGAAAAGUACCUCUAAGUUUCUGACCUAAAUGAUAAUACUUAACAUAUUUGAAUGCUAGAAAGAAAUUUAAAAUGUUAAUUGCUAUCAACAUCUAAUCGUAAGAAUAAGGAGUUUUUAUAAAUAGGCGAAUAAUCGAUAUUUAGGAGACUAUUUUAAUAAUUUUAUAUGCGAGAAAACGAUAUGAAUGAAUUUUAUAUGGACAUCAAUAUCAAUCAAAUGAUAGAAUAUUAUUAUGCUUUUCAAAAUACAAAAGAGUGAGAAGGAUGAACCCCAAUGCCAAUUUUCCCAAUUGAAUAAACAACUUUUUACUUUGCUUUAUUUACAAUUCUUGCAAUCAUACACAACAAACAUCCUACAAACUUUUACUUAUUGUUUUCUAUUUAGUGAAUCUUAUACUUGAUAAUUCAAGUGUUCCUUAUGUGUUCGAUAUCUGUCCUUAGGGACAAAUUAUUACUCCUAACACGAUACACUUGCCGUAAAAUAAUCAUCACACUUUAAAUUUUAGUUUGUAUUAAAGAUUGCAAGGGUUUGUCUCUAAAUAUGUUUUGAUGAACAUUGUUGAAGAGUUUGAUCAUGUUAGACGUGUUGGUAUUGAUAGUGAAUGUCAUUGAGAUGUACUCAUGGUUUACCUUAUGCAUACGAAUUAGUGAAAUAUGACAUCGGUAGCAUACUAUUGAAUAUAGUGCAUGUUAUGUGGAUCAGAUUUAACUUUUUUUAUAGGUCAUCAUGCGAUUCAUCGUCCAGGUUAUCUAAUCAGUAGAAAUUGGACAUUUUUUAUAAUUGUUUUAAGGAAGUUGAAAUUGCAGGUGAAGUGACAAUUAAAGCAUUCCCAAAUCCAUAAUUGCAUUCUGGAUUUCACAAUUGAGAUUGUAUUUAAAUUUUGACAAAUACAUUCCAAAUUAUACAAUCUAGAACAUAAUUUUAGAUCAAAAAAUGACUUUCAAACUGUACAAUCCAAAAUUUUGGAUUAUGCAAUUAAAAAAUUCUCAAAAGAGACAUUCUGGAAUGAAAUUAAAUAACAACACUGAAUUGUAGUUUUAAAGAACUAACCUGAUAACACUAGCGCAACAAUGGGUGGCCAAGGUAGUUAUUGACAAUGAAUUUGGAACACUACAAGCGAAGAAAGUAGACAUGACCAUGACACCAUUAGUCGUCUAUGAGGGGAGAAGAAGCAGAGAAGAAGAGAAAAAGAAAAGGUAAAAAUAUAUGUCAUUAAGGACAUUUUGGUCUUUUUAGCAUCUUAUCGGGGUGUACUUGAAAAUUAUAGGAAGGCAAAAGGUAAUGUGGCCUAUGGUUAGUCUUUUAUUUUAGGUAAUGGAUAAUGAAGUUUUUGUUUUGACUACUUUUUCAUGCACCUCCAUACCUUCUUGAGUCACCCCAUACCAAAUGUAAAAAUAUUUUUUUAUCCUUUUGUGCCACCCCCAUACAUAAUCUGGAAGAUGUUUUUGAAUCUGGAAGUUUUGUUUAGAUUUAUGAAAUUCAGAAGUUUUUUAUGGAUUUGAGAUAAUCUUAUGUAUUAUGUAAUCCGAAAGCUAAUCACACAUUUGAAAAAAUACUUCUGGAUUACACAAUCCAGAAGCUAAUCUCAAUCCAAAAAAGACUUUCAGAUUAUAUAAUCCAGAAGCUAAUCAAGCAUUUGAAAAAAAAGCUUUCAAAUUACAUAAUCUGGAAGCUAAUUACAAAAGAUUUUUGGAUUACAUAAUCUGAAAUAUUAAAGCAGGAUAUUUUUGAAAUACAAAAAAUAUAUGGGGUGACACAAGAAAGUAUGGAGGUGCACGAAAAAACAUUCUUUUCUUUUUGAACUUUCUUAAACUCCAGUCUUGGCCUUUCUUCUGGCUCUUCUUCUGAUCCUUUUGUUCUUGAGUUAAUUAUAUAAAAAAUGAAAAAAAAGCCCAGAUUCUCUUUCAGUCUUUCUUAAUCUUAAUCUAAUGAGUAUUAGAACAAAUUAUUGUUGAUCACCAUCAGAUGUACCAGAUUCUUAGAAAGUAAAAUAUAAGGUUAAUUAAAUAUCACAAAAAUGAUUUAAUAAGAUAGCUUUUACAUUUUAAAUAUAUAAUAUAAUUUAAUUAUAUCACUAGUUAAAAUGUGAUAUUUUCGAAAUAAAUAAUAUUUUGAUUAUUAUGCUUUUAAUAAUAAUAAAAAAAAGAGCUCAACGAUUCCUCCAUUUCUUUAAGCGUCUUCAGAGAAACUUAUAAAUAUAAUAAAUUUUCUUGAUGUUAAUAAAAUAAUUAUAAGAUUUUCUAUUUUUUCUUUCUUCAUUUCUAUAUUACAAUACAUUUGUAAACUAAUUAAAUAUCUGAUGAAAAGUAAAGGUACAAUUAAUAAAAGAAUAAUUAAUGUUGACCGUGAAAAAGAAACAAAGAGAAUAUAUAUGAGUAGGUGUAAAACAUUUUCUCUAUUAAAAGACCGAAGAAAUUAAUGUUUUUAUGCUUAUUUUUUUGUAUUAUACUAUAAAAAAUAAUCUAUGUCUUGUUAAAUUAAUGAAAUUACAUAAUUUUUACCAUGAAAAAUAAAAUUAUAAUUAAUGAAAACUAAUUAAUGUUAUCUUCUAAUUGAUGAAAGAGCAAUUAAUGUGGCCCUCCCAAGGGAUUAUCUUACCUGGCCAAGAAUUUGUGAAAAGUGAAGAAAGAACCUUUUUCCACUUUAACUUCAAAUAUUUUGAUCAAAAUAUUUUUUACAAUUUUCCAAAAUCUCUUUUCUGAAAUAUAUUUUUUAGAUUUUUUUUAAAUAUGUAUUUUUUAUUAUGGAAUUGCGUCAAUUGUUUUCGAAUGGGAUUGAGGCUGAGAACGAUUCAAGUUGCUCUUUUAUCUGUUCGGUUGGUUGGUCGAUCAAGUCUUUUCUCCUUCCUCUCAAAGCGAUCUUCUUAGUCUCCUCUUUUAACUCUACCUCUCUGUCUUCACAAGUCCAGACUCGGAUAGUACUUGCAAAAGGUACUCCGACGCUCAAGUUAGAAUUGAGUAUUCGACACUCGGUAUUCUGAGCACGGUAUAUGAUGUACCUGAUUCUUGGAUUUUGUGUCUAUUUAUAUGGUUAUUAUGAGCAUUUUCUCAUUAGAUCAGAUUAUAAAGUAAAAUCAUGUUUAAGGAUAUAUUACCUAAUAUUUAACUGUUGAUUAACCUCAUUAAUUAUGCUUAAAUGUGAUGAGGUCGACUUAUCGAGACAUAAUAUUCGUUGUAGUACCCUACCGUACAUCAAAAGAUAAAAUACAAUUAAAUCAUUGUGUGAUGAAUAUAUUUGUUUAUGAUACUAGACUCACAACCCCCGUUAGAAGGAUAUCUAGGCCAACUUGAUUAAAUGACUACAUUUGAAGAAUCUCUUUCUUUUGUCUUUUGUGGGAUUAGAUUCCUAGGAUUUUAUGUUAUGUCUUUUUCAGUUUUAUUAGGACAAAUGACUUUUUAAAGGUAUUAUAUGUCACACUAGACUAGGAGACAGAGUAUGUUAUUGGUUCUGUUACUUUUUAUCCUAAAAGUUGUUUUUUUUUUGUUUCUGUCAUAUCUCUUUCCCAAGCUCUUUAUUUCCUAGUUUUCUUUACGUUCUUCCUCAUCCCCGCUCCAUCACUGUAUCACACAAGGACUACAAUCUUAUUAAGGUGAAGGAUAUCGUGAGGGAAAUAGCUUUGAAACCGUUAGAUUGCUUCCAUUUUAAAUCAAUGGUGGAUAAAUUUCAGUUCUUUAUAUAUUUUUAUUUCCUUCUUCUUCUUCUUUUCCCAUGGGCAAGUUUGAAAGAAAUAUCUGACACAAGAAAGCAUAGUCAUUGUCUCUUAUUCAUAUUCAGUCUCUGGACAAGAUUCUCUCUUACACUUGAUUCAAGCUACGGACUUAAUAACCUUAUCAGCUUCAAAAAGCUCCAUGAACCUUAAAUCGAAGGCUUCAUGCUCAGUGAGACUCAACCGUUUUCCCUCCUCACCGUUGUGUGCAUAAAACCUCCCAAUAUCAAGACAAGUUGGUGUCCCAGUGAUGCAGAACACAAACUUGUACGCAAACGGAUGAUAUUUCUCAAUAUGAAAUUUGCCAGCAUAAGUUUGUUGCCCGGGAUGGCCUUCGGCACCACCAACUCCCACACAUGCCUUCUGGAUUGCUUCGUCCAUAAACACCAACCACUUGGAGGAUUCUGAACACUCUGGCUUCUCCACGAACUCGAUUUCCAGUUCGGUACCUACACUCAUGUUUCCAAAAAAUUAAAUCAGUAACCUAUGCAACACACUCACACUUAAACACGUGUAAUCUUAAAUUGAUAAGGUGUUGAUGAGUACCAGUGAAGAUGAUUCCAGAGCUGUCUCCAGGUAUGGUGAAUUUCACAGGAAUGCCGCGGAAGUUUGCAAAGGGAUGUUGCAAGACAGUUAGAGCGCAGGGUGAGUUCCCAGAUUGACCAAGUUUCAAUCCACCAGCACGAGGGCCACGGAUUGAUGGUAUGAUGUAGUAUGUGAGACCUGGGCUAAUGGGGUUCCCACUUAUGUCCACAACUUGCUCAACAUCUGAGAAAGCUAAGGGAAGGUUGGUGAGGAAAGCAAGGAGAGGGAGGAGGAAGGAGAGGGCAAGAACUGCGUU
rnacentral:lncRNA from 1 species